GGGGAAUAUUGGGCAAUGGGCGCAAGCCUGACCCAGCAACGCCGCGUGAGGGAAGAAGGCUUUCGGGUUGUAAACCUCUGUCCUUGGUGACGAAACAAAUGACGGUAGCCAAGGAGGAAGCCCCGGCUAACUACGUGCCAGCAGCCGCGGUAAUACGUAGGGGGCGAGCGUUGUCCGGAAUUACUGGGCGUAAAGGGUGCGUAGGUGGCCUUUUAAGUUGGAUGUGAAAUACCCGGGCUUAACUUGGGGGGUGCAUCUAAUACUGGGAGGCUAGAGUGCAGGAGAGGAAAGCGGAAUUCCUAGUGUAGCGGUGAAAUGCGUAGAUAUUAGGAGGAACACCAGUGGCGAAGGCGGCUUUCUGGACUGUAACUGACACUGAGGCACGAAAGCGUGGGGAGCAAAC
rnacentral:rRNA from 1 species